GCGGCAGGCUUAACACAUGCAAGUCGAGCGGAUGAAGGUAGCUUGCUACUGGAUUCAGCGGCGGACGGGUGAGUAAUGCUUAGGAAUCUGCCUAUUAGUGGGGGACAACGUUCCGAAAGGAGCGCUAAUACCGCAUACGUCCUACGGGAGAAAGCAGGGGACCUUUGGGCCUUGCGCUAAUAGAUGAGCCUAAGUCGGAUUAGCUAGUUGGUAGGGUAAAGGCCUACCAAGGCGACGAUCUGUAGCGGGUCUGAGAGGAUGAUCCGCCACACUGGGACUGAGACACUGCCCAGACUCCUACGGGAGGCAGCAGUGGGGAAUAUUGGACAAUGGGGGGAACCCUGAUCCAGCCUUGCCGCGUGUGUGAAGAAGGUCUUUUGGUUGUUAAG
rnacentral:rRNA from 1 species